UAUGUACUCCCUCCGUCCGGAAAUACUUGUCGGAGAAAUGGAUGAAUCUAGAUGUAUUUUAGCUAUAGAUACAUUCAAUUUUAUCCAUCUAUCCGACAAGUAUUUCGGGACGGAGCGAGUAUCAG
rfam:Triticum aestivum genome assembly, contig: Triticum_aestivum_CS42_TGACv1_scaffold_223517_3B